rnacentral:rRNA from 1 species
UACGUAGGGUGCGAGCGUUGUCCGGAAUUAUUGGGCGUAAAGGGCUCGUAGGCGGUUUGUCGCGUCGGGGGUGAAAACCAGGUGCUUAACACCUGGCUUGCUUUCGAUACGGGCAGACUAGAGGUAUGCAGGGGAGAACGGAAUUCCUGGUGUAGCGGUGAAAUGCGCAGAUAUCAGGAGGAACACCGGUGGCGAAGGCGGUUCUCUGGGCAUUACCUGACGCUGAGGAGCGAAAGUGUGGGGAGCGAACAGG